ACACAGUCAUGUGUGCUUGCUUUUAAAUGCUGUUGGCCCUGCUAAUUAUUCUGGGCACAAGGGAACUCUCCAGGCAGAAGGGAAAUAAUUCCAGUCCCAGGAGCGCCUCCUUCAGAUGAGGAGUGUCAGUGUAAUAUGGCCCAUCAUGACAACAGUGAGUGACCAAGUUUUCAAGUUUGCAAGAAGCUUUCAACACUAAGGCAUCUCUGAGCUCAGCCCUACACCAGGACACCUCACUGGGCAUCGUGUCCCAUUCCUCAUGGCUGCCUGUGGAAGCUGGGAAACACUGCAGCCACAUCAAUUCUUUGGACUGAAGUUGUAAAAAACAGCUUUUCAAGACUUAUAAUUGCAGAGCAGCUGUCAGCCUGAGCCCUGCCACAGCACCUCCCCAUCUGUUCAGCCCAUCUAGCAUUACAGCAGGGGACAGCACGGAGCCUGAAACGUUAUCGGAUGUGGAGCCGGGACCGCUGCACUCGCCGCCCUCGGCUGCAGGGGAUCACUUGCACUUUUCCACCCUCUUGGAGUGCUUCAGGCUUCACCAGAGUAGUGGGCAGAGGCUGAUCAGAAGAGGGGAGAAGGGACGCUGCAAAAGGAUCAAAUUCUGCAAUGUGACUCUGGCAGCUGAGUCAAAAAGACAGACAUCCUUGGCUUCGCCGGGAGGAGAUGUUUGACUUCUGGCAGGGCUGAGAAUCAUUUGAGAGCCCCUUAGAGGAAAACCUGAUACCUUGCCUUUCCCCAAAGCCUCCCCCUCCACAUCUCUCAGUAUUAACUCAUUCUGUAGUAGCUGAUUUUACAUAAUCUUAAAUCAUCUGUCCUGAAAUGUAAA